GGGAAGGGAAGAUUUUUGUUUGGGAUUGCAGUCAAGCCCUCCUGUUCUUGUUGCGAGGUUGUCUCAUGCUCAAUCAAAAUCGCCUAUUAGACAAACUGCUAUGUCUUAUGACGGAAGCACUAUUUUGAGCUGCUGUGAGGACGGGACCAUAUGGCGUUGGGAUGCUGUUACGAAUUCCAUAACCUAGCUGGUUUUUAUGCGAUUCGAUCUUGUGAGCUCCGAAAGAGCUCCAAUUUGAAGAUUUGUUAUAACUAGUCAUCGACAAGAGGAACAUGGUUUACUUUUGCAUAGAUUAAUGCUUGUUUAGUUUUAUGUCAGAUUGCAAAACUGAUUGAGUUUAUGGUGUAACCUAACCUGUGACUUGAGUGAUAUCAGGAUAGAGUCAGAUGGUUACCGGGAUGUUGGCAUCAUGUUAAACAUGUCUCUACAUACCUCCUUGUUAAUAUUGAUCACCAAUGGAUGGAGCAGCAGAUUGCAUAUGGAAAAAUUGAAUCAAUGUAUUUUGCCGUUAUGUUUGGACCUUAAUUAUUUCAAAUCUCAAUCAUCCUUUUUAA